rnacentral:rRNA from 1 species
UACGGGGGGGGGCAAGCGUUGUUCGGAAUUACUGGGCGUAAAGGGCUCGUAGGCGGCCAACUAAGUCAUACGUGAAAUCCCUCGGCUUAACCGGGGAACUGCGUCUGAUACUGGAUGGCUUGAGUUCGGGAGAGGGAUGCGGAAUUCCAGGUGUAGCGGUGAAAUGCGCAGAUAUCAGGAGGAACACCGACGGCGAAGGCAGCUUACUGGGCCGAUACUGACGCUGAGGAGCGAAAGCGUGGGGAGCGAACAGG